UACAGAGGUCUCAAGCGUUGUUCGGAUUCAUUGGGCGUAAAGGGCGCGUAGGCGGCUCGGCACGUCCGUUGUGAAAUCGCCCGGCUCAACUGGGCGGGGUCAGCGGAUACGGCCGAGCUUGAGCAAGCUAGGGGGCAAUGGAAUUCCCGGUGUAGUGGUGGAAUGCGUAGAUAUCGGGAGGAACACCAGUGGCGAAGGCGGUUGCCUGGGGCUUUGCUGACGCUGAUGCGCGAAAGCGUGGGGAGCGAUCCGG
rnacentral:rRNA from 1 species